UACAGAGGUCCCAAGCGUUGUUCGGAUUCACUGGGCGUAAAGGGUGCGUCGGUGGUCGGGUAAGUUUAAGGUGAAAGCUCCGGGCUCAACCCGGAAAUGGCCUUGAAUACUAUCCGGCUCGAGGGUUGGAGGGGGGACUGGAAUUCUCGGUGUAGCAGUGAAAUGCGUAGAGAUCGGGAGGAACACCAGUGGCGAAGGCGGCCAUCUGGAUCAACACUGACGCUGAGGCACGAAAGCGUGGGGAGCAAACAGG
rnacentral:rRNA from 1 species